rfam:Aedes albopictus isolate Foshan contig68729, whole genome shotgun sequence.
UGUUCUGUAGCUUAGUUGGUUAAAGCGCAGGGCUAGCGAUAACGGAGUCGAGGGUUCGAAUCCCACCAAAACAA